GGGAAGGGGUGACUAGUGACAGAGUGAGGAAGGGGGUGACUAGUGACAGAGGGAGGGGUGACUAGGGACAGAGUGAGGGAGGUGGUGACUAGUGACUAGUGACAGUCACCACCUCCCUCACUCUGUUACUAGUCACCACCUCCCUCACUGUGUCACCCCCUCCCUCUGUCACUGGUCACCCACUCCCUCCCUCACUCUGUCACUAGUCACCCCUUCCUUCCCUCUGUCACUAGUCACCCCUUCCUUCCC